UGUUGUCAACUGCAUGGACUCAGGUUUCAUAACAUACGCUCAACUAUCAUAAACAUUUAAGCAGUACAACACAUUAACACAUUGUAUUAUAUAGUGCUGGAUUGCUGAUGCAGCUCUUAUAGUGCCGCCGUGAACCGAAGCGCCUGCAAGCUGCAGGAGGUCGCGCACUCCGAGAAGUGUAUUAUUCAGUUGUGGGCUAGGUGCAUAUUAAUCAAGCGACUUAACAUCGUGUGACGUGUACUGCGAGAGCGUGGUAACUAUGGUUACAACUGGUAACCAUACUGGCAUAGAAGUUAAGCGGUAGUCAGUCCUUGGUAUAGUGGGUUGCAACUUGGUCAUUACAUGAUACCAAAAAAGUAGUGUCCAAUCACAAUACGAUUUGACCGACACCGCACAACACACACGACGCGUAGUUGUACUUGAUAAACAACUCAUAUACCAGUUACCGCGUCGGAGGCAAGUAUAUACCCCUAUAAGAUAAAUGUACAUCACUAUGCCAUAAUAAUAUUGUGUAGGUAUUGUGUAGAAAUUGUCGACAUUUUGUUAUAAACCAAAUAUGAGAUGGAUUAUCUGCAGUGAUCUUGGAGUAGGUACGUUGAAUAACUUGAAGUGCCGACAUGUUUUGCAGCUCUAUCACUCUGAAAGAAAAUGUAUGCACAGCUCAAAAAACGAAAACGUAAGCAAUUGUUUAAAGCGUAUCGAAACAUUCGAUACACAUAUACUGCGGUAAAUAUAUAUUAUACAGUGUUUGAAAUGUCAAUCUAAAAAUUUAUUAUAAUUUUUAUAUUGUAUCAUGAUUUUUUUUUAAAUCUUUGACAACUGUAGUACCUAUAUGGUUCUCCGCCCCGCUGGACUCGGAAGUACAUUUUGUGGCAUGUUUUUUAUGUAAUGAUUAACCAUACAUUUGCUAACCAUAUAUGUAUACAAUGAUUUAAACGUUCAUAGAAAAUAUAGAUUUUUCAUUUAGAAAAACCAUCGAUUUUCUGUUU